CAGUAAAUAGUUUAAUAAAAAUAUUAAUUUUGGAGAUUAAUGAUGAGGUCUGCCUUUUUACUGA
rnacentral:tRNA from 1 species